AUUCCAGGCUCUGUGAACUAAGUGACUGAAGCUGAUUGACACAGGUCAAGGGGACUUCAAGGAAGAAAGCCAGCCUUAGACUGACAUCAGAGAACCAAACUCCGGUGUCUAAGCUCAAGAGGUUAGAAUCCUGAGAACUGUUUGGAAUAAGGAAUCCAAAUAUUGUCUUCCAGCUUCACCUUGUCACGACAGUCCUCGCCAGGGACAGCUGAGCAUCUACAUCUCCAUUUAUGCCGUGUGCACGCAGUACCAACAGAGGUCAGAGGAGGGUGUCGGAUCCCCUGGAACUGGAGUCACAGAUUCUUCCUUGCGUGGAUGAAACAGUCCCAACGAACACUUUAAAAAGACAAAUGUUCCCGACAGCACUGGUUGAAUUCAAAACUCGGCAGAUCCAUGUUCUUAUCCUUAGACAAGAGAGGGGCCAUAACAAGAUGGAAUGACUGAACAGACGUGAGAGAUGAUGGUACAGUGACUCGGGUAACCCCAGAAAAGGGACAGCUCUUCUACAGCUCAGUGGGGACAGGGACAAAAAGAAACAAUUUCAUUUCAGUCCACCCAGAGGGUCUGCACUUCUCGGAGCCAGAAGGUGGAGAAGAGUAGGGAUGGAGGAAGUUUGAAGUUUUAGGAGUCUGCUCUUGGGUCCCUAGGCAUGAGGACAAGCUUUUCCUGUACUCAAUGCUCAUCUCUCAGUUGUGCCCACAUUGGUACACAUUAUUUGCUUUCAACUGCUGCUGCUGCUGCUGUUUCCUAAUUCAAUAAAGAUAUGGCUGGCUCAGCAGAGAGCUGUCAUCCAUCCCUGUGUGUGUUGAACCUUCAAGGCAGAACCCAGUUUCUGUGUCACAUCUUCAUCUCAGGCUCAACCAUUUGGGCUGGAGGUGCAGGGCAGACCAAAGAUG
ensembl:lincRNA Gm29154 predicted gene 29154